CGGAGCUAAGCGGCCAGUACAGCCAGCUGGGUUGAGAAGCCGGGUGACCGAGGAGCGGGACAUAGGUGGAGCAGAGAGGAGAAGGGAAGAUGGAUUCAGCUGAAGACCGGGAGAACAGGGCUGAUCAGAGGGGUACAGCUGGAGCUAAUGAUCGUGGCUGCAGCCUGCUUCUCACACACAGGCAGAUGUCUGCCUGAGAUUGUGAGUAAAGAAGCAGCUCAGGGCUGAGAUCAUGAGCACCAGCGGGCCCCUCUGUCAGCCUCAGGCACUGAUCAUUAGAUUAGGGUUUUAGAUGGAGGUUGUGUGCCCCUCCCCCACCAAUCUAGCACGGGACUAGUUUCCCCUCUCCUCAGACUUCAAGACCUGCACAAACUAGUGUACAACAUGUUUCCCCGCCCCCAGGUCUCCUACAGCUCCUCCCUUCCCCAUCUGCUUCCACGGGCUGGGCACUGGGCAGCUCAGGGGGAGACACUCAGAGGUUCCCCAGCUGUGCCUCUAACCUCCCCCCCCCCCCACUACCACCAUGUGUGCCUCUACCACCUAUGUCAGCUGCCUGUGUCUCUUGCUCCCUCCAUGUGUACCUCUGCCUAUCUCUCAUCUGUACCUCAGCCUCCUUUCUCAUGUGCCUCUGUCCACUUUCCCAUCUAUACUUUUGCCACAUUAUCUAGUAUAUACCUCUGAUAUUUCCCCACUCUGUAGUCUGUACCCCUGCCCCCUUUGUCAUGGUACCCUUGGCACCAUCUUCAGAGGGACACUGCUUCUUCCCCAUGUGUACCACCAACACCACCCCAUGGCUGGUUGUGCAGAGCAACAAAAUCAACACAGUGUACAGUGCCACAUCAUUCAUCAGGAUGGCAGAUCCUCUUCGGAAUAUUCUUCCCGGACUCCAGACUAAAGGGGGUAAAAGAAAACAGCGACUGCAGUAGUAGGUGGUCAGAGAUGUGUACAGCUGCUCUCUUCUUCGUUUGAUUGACAAAUGCUUUAGUGUGACCAAUGGAUUGGAUACGCUUCUGUGCACUUCCAAGCAUCUGAACAAGUGCUUCCCAUUGAGCGUGUGACAGGCAGAGUGCCGCAGGUGAUGAUCCGCAACAAUUCAGGUAACAUGGAGCCUGCUCCUUCAGAAACACUCUGGCAAAUUAGCUGCUACUUGACUUCUCAAAAGAGCAUUGUUACCGCUGCACAGUGACAUCAGAAUUCUCAAAGAGCCUACAUCUAUGCCGAUUGCAAAUGGAAGGGUGGAAAGAUUGUAUGUGUUGGACGGAUUCAUUAAAAGCUAAUAACGCAUUUUUCCAACCAAUUACUAGAUACAGAUCUCUGCGUACAGAGAUAAAGGAACAAGACAGGCUGGGAACACACUGUACAAUUGUUUCUUCAGACGCAACAAACUCUCCUGAUUUUUUUUCUUGCAAGGAAACCCUCCUGUAGUCAUGUGAUCCUCCUAUUUAUCUGUCCGGGUGAUCUGAAGGAAAGACCAUGUUCUUGUAUCUGUAAUGGAUGCAGGGUAUACGGUGCACACAUGCCCCUGGGUCCAGGGGGGGCCACGACGCACACCCUGCACCCAUAUAAUUAUAUGUCCUUCUCCAGAGUCCCACAUUGGCCAGUGCUGCAGACAAACAUCACUGGGAAAAUGGCGCAUCAGACAUUUUCCCGGGGGUGUGGUUCAUCAA